rnacentral:rRNA from 1 species
AUUGAACGCUGACGGCAUGCCUUACACAUGCAAGCCGAACGGUAACAGGUCUUCGGAUGCUGACGAGUGGCGAACGGGUGAGUAAUACAUCGGAACGUGCCUAGUAGUGGGGGAUAACUACUCGAAAGAGUGGCUAAUACCGCAUGAGAUCUACGGAUGAAAGCAGGGGAUCGCAAGACCUUGUGCUACUAGAGCGGCCGAUGGCAGAUUAGGUAGUUGGUGGGAUAAAAGCUUACCAAGCCGACGAUCUGUAGCUGGUCUGAGAGGACGAUCAGCCACACUGGGACUGAGACACGGCCCAGACUCCUACGGGAGGCAGCAGUGGGGAAUUUUGGACAAUGGGCGAAAGCCUGAUCCGGCAAUGCCGCGUGCAGGAUGAAGGCCUUCGGGUUGUAAACUGCUUUUGUACGGAACGAAAAGCCCCGGGUUAAUACCCUGGGGUCAUGACGGUACCGUAAGAAUAAGCACCGGCUAACUACGUGCCAGCAGCCUCAGUAA